rnacentral:rRNA from 1 species
GACGAACGCUGGCGGCGUGCUUAACACAUGCAAGUCGAACGGAAAGGCCCUGCUUUUGUGGGGUGCUCGAGUGGCGAACGGGUGAGUAACACGUGAGUAACCUGCCCUUGACUUUGGGAUAACUUCAGGAAACUGGGGCUAAUACCGGAUAGGAGCUCCUGCUGCAUGGUGGGGGUUGGAAAGUUUCGGCGGUUGGGGAUGGACUCGCGGCUUAUCAGCUUGUUGGUGGGGUAGUGGCUUACCAAGGCUUUGACGGGUAGCCGGCCUGAGAGGGUGACCGGCCAAAUUGGAAUAGAAAGACGCCCAGCGGUCGUAAGGGAGCGAGAGGGGGGGAAAAUUGAAAAAGGGGCCAAAGGCGUGUGCAGGACGCCCGGCGGGGGGCAAACGCCGUUCGGGUUAGAAACCGCUUUAGCUUGUAGCGGAGGGUGAGUGCAGGUAAGGGGAAAAAAAGCACCGGCUAACCAGGU